rnacentral:rRNA from 1 species
UUCCGGUUGAUCCUGCCGCCGGCCACCGCUAUCAAGUUCCGACUAAGCCAUGCGAGUCAAGGUAUCGUAAGAUGCCGGCAAACUGCUCAGUAACACGUGGAUAAUCUAACCUUGAGUAAGGGAUAACCUCGGGAAACUGAGGAUAAUACCUUAUAAUUGCUUAAAACUGGAAUGUUUAAGCAAUAAAAGUUCAGACGCUCAAGGAUGAGUCUGCGACCUAUCAGGUAGUAGGUGGUGUAAUGGACCACCUAGCCUCAGACGGGUACGGGCCCUGGGAGGGGUAGCCCGGAGAUGGACUCUGAGACAUAAGUCCAGGCCCUACGGGGCGCAGCAGGCGCGAACACUGUGCAAUGCGCGAAAGCGCGACACGGGGAGCUUGAGUGUCUUGGCAUAGCCAAGACUUUUCUCAUUCCUAAAAAGCAUGAGGAAUAAGUGCUGGGUAAGACGGGUGCCAGCCGCCGCGGUAACACCCGCAGCACAAGUGGUGGUCACUUUUAUUGAGCCUAAAGCGUUCGUAGCCGGUUUUGUAAAUCUUUAGAUAAAGCCUGAAGCUUAACUCCAGAAAGUCUGAAGAGACUGCAAGACUUGAGAUCGGGUGAGGUUAAACGUACUUUCAGGGUAGGGGUAAAACCCUGUAAUCCCGGAAGGACGACCAGUGGCGAAAGCGUUUAACUAGAACGAAUCUGACGGUAAGGAACGAAGGCUAGGGUAGCAAACCGGAUUAGAUACCCGGGUAGUCCUAGCUGUAAACAUUGCCCAUUUGAUGUUGCUUUUCCGUUGAGGGAAGGCAGUGUCGGAGCGAAGGUGUUAAAUGGGCCGCUUGGGAAGUAUGGUCGCAAGACUGAAACUUAAAGGAAUUGGCGGGAGAGCACCGCAACGGGAGGAGCGUGCGGUUUAAUUGGAUUCAACGCCGGAA